GCCCCUGACUCUGGGAAAAGCGCCGGAAACGGCGUCUAAUACUGGAUAUGUGACGGGACCGCACGGUCUCCGUCCGGACAGAUUUUCCGGUCCGGGAUGGGCUCGCGGCCUAUCAGCUUGUUGGUGAGGUAAUGGCUCACCAAGGCGUCGACGGGUAGCCGGCCUGAGAGGGUGACCGGCCACACUGGGACUGAGACACGGCCCAGACUCCUACGGGAGGCAGCAGUGGGGAAUAUUGCACAAUGGGCGAAAGCCUGAUGCAGCAACGCCGCGUGAGGGAUGACGGCCUUCGGGUUGUAAACCUCUUUUAGCAGGGAAGAAGCGAAAGUGACGGUACCUGCAGAAAAAGCGCCGGCUAACUACGUGCCAGCAGCCGCGGUAAUACGUAGGGCGCAAGCGUUAUCCGGAAUUAUUGGGCGUAAAGAGCUCGUAGGCGGUUUGUCGCGUCUGCUGUGAAAUCCCGAGGCUCAACCUCGGGCCUGCAGUGGGUACGGGCAGACUAGAGUGCGGUAGGGGAGAUUGGAAUUCCUGGUGUAGCGGUGGAAUGCGCAGAUAUCAGGAGGAACACCGAUGGCGAAGGCAGAUCUCUGGGCCGUAACUGACGCUGAGGAGCGAAAGGGUGGGGAGCAAACAGGCUUAGAUACCCUGGUAGUCCACCCCGUAAACGUUGGGAACUAGUUGUGGGGUCCAUUCCACGGAUUCCGUGACGCAGCUAACGCAUUAAGUUCCCCGCCUGGGGAGUACGGCCGCAAGGGCUAAAACUCAAAGGAAUUGACGGGGACCCGCACAAGCGGCGGAGCAUGCGGAUUAAUUCGAUGCAACGCGAAGAACCUUACCAAGGCUUGACAUAUACGAGAACGGGCCAGAAAUGGUCAACUCUUUGGACACUCGUAAACAGGUGGUGCAUGGUUGUCGUCAGCUCGUGUCGUGAGAUGUUGGGUUAAGUCCCGCAACGAGCGCAACCCUCGUUCUAUGUUGCCAGCACGUAAUGGUGGGAACUCAUGGGAUACUGCCGGGGUCAACUCGGAGGAAGGUGGGGAUGACGUCAAAUCAUCAUGCCCCUUAUGUCUUGGGCUUCACGCAUGCUACAAUGGCCGGUACAAAGGGCUGCAAUACCGUGAGGUGGGGCGAAUCCCAAAAAGCCGGUCCCAGUUCGGAUUGAGGUCUGCAACUCGACCUCAUGAAGUCGGAGUCGCUAGUAAUCGCAGAUCAGCAACGUGCGGGUGAAUACGUUCCCGGGUCUUGUACACA
rnacentral:rRNA from 1 species